UGUCAGUGACAAUUGAGAGUCCCUGCUUAAGCUUGAAUAAACGACCCUCCUGCGCUUACAUCGGAAACGGCCUCCUGGUGGUCUUUGGGACCUCACAAUCUGGGCACAACACUUUCAGUUUUUAACUCUGUCUUUGUCCCAGUGUUCGGGGAUUUCCUGGCUCGCUUGGCCUAACAAGAAUGAGAGGGACACGGGCAGAUUGGUAAAGUCAGACCAGGGCAACCUCCACAUCACCUGGUGGUGCUGGGCUCUGGGCACUGGGCAGGGACAGCUGCCUGACUGGAGGUGAGCUCUCUGGAAAGCUUGAACAGAAUGGACAUCAUUUUGGAAUGGAAGAGGUGAGUGUGAGAAACCAGUCCAUACUGAAGAGGGAGGAAUUAGGAGACAAAGCUCCUAAAGAUCAACCCCUCCAGGUCCUUUCCCCAUUCGUUAUUGAGGUGCAGAGUGAGGUCAUGACCCAGGCAGAGCACUGCAGAGUUCCUCUCCUGGGUUUUUCCCAUCUUUACCUGAAAGGGAACGACACAUGGGGACCAGGAGCAGCCAACGCGGAGGCCAGCGCCCCACCAGUGCCCUGCCCAGGCAUCAGGUAGAAGAGGACAUAACUUCUAACAGACAAGGUGACUACUGUGAUUGCCAGCUCCAGAUAGCUGCAGAGGUGCGCUUGAGCCUAUGCUGAGCAUGAGGCCUGCACACACUGGGUGCAAGGCCACAAGGUCAGUCAACAAGCAGCUGCAGAACUAUAAACUGAUUGCUUCCUGGAACUCACACAGGACAGAGAUUUUGUGUUCUAGCUGGCCUGAGUGAGAAAAUGUAUGAUCUUACCCUCUACAGUCAGUACAGCUCGAAGUAAGUACAAAGAAGAAAGUAAUAUAGAUCAGAGCAGAAACCAAUGAAAUUGAAAAGGAAUAGUGUUUAAAAAUCAAUAAAGCCUCCUGAAUGUGGUGGGACAAACCUGUAAGCUCAACACCUGGAAGGCUGAGGCAGGAGGAUGGCUGGGAAUUCUAGGCCAGUCUAGGCUACA